AUGGCAAUGGGGUCACACUGGCCACAGAGCCAAGAGUUGACCAAUGAGAGCCAGCAGAGAAAGCCGAAAGGCAAAGUGACAUCGAUACAUCAUUUUUUCUUCUGUGUUGGAUUCAGAGCUGAGAGCAGUGGAAAAAAGGAGCUGAAAUCACCUGGAGAUUUUAACAGGUGUGGCCUGUGCCCUACCCGACUCUACUUACCCUUGGUAGUUUGGGACUACUUGGCACAGAGUGAAGGACAGAGAAUCCAGGAGCAGGACUCAGUUACUGGAAUUGUCGACUCCUUCAACCAAUUUUCUCCUCCCACUAUGAGCAGACCAACUCUGCUGCCCUCCUGUGUGGCUUUCUGCAGCAUUCUCCUCCUCACCUUGGCCACAGGAUGUCGAGCUUUCCCACAGGUGGAAAGGAGGGAAACAUCACACGCUUAUGCAGAGAAGGAGCAGCCCCAGAAGAUGAACACAGAUGGCCAAGGAAACAUCUCCUUUGCUCCAAAGUACACACCCCAGCAGAUGUCCUCUGAUGCUCCCAUGGGACUCUCUGCAGGACCGUCAGUGACACCAUUACAUAAAGUAUUCUCUGUGAGCAGAGAGAGUCACCUUGCAGGAGCUGGGCUACUGUAUGCUACCAGCACUGGUGUUUACUCUUCUAGUGAGCCAGUGGAUUCAACCAGUGACCAAGAGCAUGGCCCCAGCCAGCUUGAAAGAAUGUCUCCUGAGCACAGCCUUUCCAAGUCCAUGUUAACUGUUGCUGUAUCUUCUUCACCUGCUUCUCUGAAUCCUGACCAGGAGGAACCCUACAGCAGUUCAAGCACCCAGUCCAUGGUACAAGGGAUCACAGAUGGAGCCCAUGGUUUCCUGGAGUAUUUAGAUAACCAGGUGUUUGCAACUGAAAGUCAGGAAGCAGUUAGCUUAGGAAAGUCACCUCCUUCUUCUAUAAAUACCAAAGAAACUGAGAACAUCAAAGCAGAUGUAGCCAUGAGAACUACUGCCUUUCCCCAUGUUGAUUCCACAAGAGAGAUGAAGCCUGAUAGGGAGAGGUCCUCAGAGAUGGCAGUUGACAAUGUCGAGAGCAAUACCACUAAGUAUUUGGUGACACUCCCCAAGAAAGUCCUGACUAUUGAGACAACAGCUGACAGUGUUUUGGGAAACCCUAAGGUCACAGUGAGUGUCAGUACACCUGAUCCAGUUUCUUCUGUCUUCAGCGAGGAGUGGGAUGGCACCAAAUUUGAGAGCAUAAGUCUAGGGAGGCCCCCAGAGUCAGGAGACAAUGCAGAGACUCAAGUGAGAACAGAGCAACCGCAUGGAAACUCUGAGAGCUUUGAGGGGACUGAGGAGAGCCCCACUUCCACAGAGGUUGCAAAGGUGGCUCCAGGGCUCCCGGGAGGAGAAACACCCUUGGGAACAGCCCUUGUAACUGCAAUGGGGGAUGGUAGGUCACCAGUCUUGAUCCAUAAAAUUACCUUCACUCCCAUGAGUCUGGUAGAUGACCCUGAGAUUUCCACUAUGAAGCUGUUCUCAAGUGCAGGAGGCUUUAGAGCUUCUACACAGUGGGACAGGACUGAGCUUUCCUCAGAGACUGCAAUCUUCUACCUCUCAAUGUGUGUCUGUACCACAGCAGGCAGCAAGAAAUGUGUUAAACGAUAUGAUAAUGGUAACUCAAGCAAUGAACAUUACAUUACCCAUGGUCACACAGGAGCAUAUGGUCACCGUCGAGGUUCCCAGAGGCAGUGGGGAGCUUGAAGAGGGCAUGCCAUCCCUCUCCCCUGUGUCUGCUGAAGUGGAUGAUGCUGAGCUCUCCAGAAGAUGGGAGUCUCUGGCCACUCCAGCCUCCACCACUAUUGUCCCUCUGUCUCUCCAACUUACCUCAUCCAUGGAAGGUCAGUAGGGGACAAUUACCGGGACCAGUGAGGAGUUCAUACAAAUUUUGGACUGUACAAUAGCACCCCCUGCAAUGACGGCAGAUGAUCUCCAAAUUCACCCAGCACUUCUUUCUAAAGGAAGAACGGUUCAGUCCAUCAGCCCUGCAAAGGCAACUGCCUCCUCUAGGCCUGAAACAGCUUGAGUUUGAAGAUAUCUCUGACUCUGACCACAAAUUUCAAAACCAAUAA